rnacentral:tRNA from 1 species
CUCGGCAAAGUCCUCGGCUUCGGAGGCGGUCAUGCAGGGAUCGUGGAACGACCAGUGGUCCCCGUUCGCGAGUUCGAUCUCGCCGCCGACC